UGCUGUGAACUCGAAGAGUAGGGCGGGACACGUGGUAUCCUGUCUGAAUAUGGGGGGACCAUCCUCCAAGGCUAAAUACUCCUGACUGACCGAUAGUGAACCAGUACCGUGAGGGAAAGGCGAAAAGAACCCCGGCGAGGGGAGUGAAAAAGAACCUGAAACCGUGUACGUACAAGCAGUGGGAGCACCUUCGGGUGUGACUGCGUACCUUUUGUAUAAUGGGUCAGCGACUUAUAUUCUGUAGCAAGGUUAACCGUAUAGGGGAGCCGAAGGGAAACCGAGUCUUAACUGGGCGUUAAGUUGCAGGGUAUAGACCCGAAACCCGGUGAUCUAGCCAUGGGCAGGUUGAAGGUUGGGUAACACUAACUGGAGGACCGAACCGACUAAUGUUGAAAAAUUAGCGGAUGACCUGUGGCUGGGGGUGAAAGGCCAAUCAAACCGGGAGAUAGCUGGUUCUCCCCGAAAGCUAUUUAGGUAGCGCCUCGUGAACUCAUCUUCGGGGGUAGAGCACUGUUUCGGCUAGGGGGCCAUCCCGGCUUACCAACCCGAUGCAAACUACGAAUACCGAAGAAUGUUAUCACGGGAGACACACGGCGGGUGCUAACGUCCGUCGUGAAGAGGGAAACAACCCAGACCGCCAGCUAAGGUCCCAAAGUCAUGGUUAAGUGGGAAACGAUGUGGGAAGGCACAGACAGCCAGGAUGUUGGCUUAGAAGCAGCCAUCAUUUAAAGAAAGCGUAAUAGCUCACUGGUCGAGUCGGCCUGCGCGGAAGAUGUAACGGGGCUAAACCAUGCACCGAAGCUGCGGCAGCGACGCUUAUGUGUUGUUGGGUAGGGGAGCGUUCUGUAAGCCGUUGAAGGUGUGCUGUGAGGCAUGCUGGAGGUAUCAGAAGUGCGAAUGCUGACAUAAGUAACGAUAAAGCGGGUGAAAAGCCCGCUCGCCGGAAGACCAAGGGUUCCUGUCCAACGUUAAUCGGGGCAGGGUGAGUCGACCCCUAAGGCGAGGCCGAAAGGCGUAGUCGAUGGGAAACAGGUUAAUAUUCCUGUACUUGGUGUUACUGCGAAGGGGGGACGGAGAAGGCUAUGUCAGCCGGGCGACGGUUGUCCCGGUUUAAGCAUGUAGGCGGAGGUUCCAGGUAAAUCCGGUACCUUAUUAACGCUGAGGUGUGAUGACGAGGCACUACGGUGCUGAAGUGAUAAAUGCCCUGCUUCCAGGAAAAGCCUCUAAGCAUCAGGUAACACGAAAUCGUACCCCAAACCGACACAGGUGGUCAGGUAGAGAAUACCAAGGCGCUUGAGAGAACUCGGGUGAAGGAACUAGGCAAAAUGGUGCCGUAACUUCGGGAGAAGGCACGCUGAUAUGUAGGUGAAGCCCCUGCGGGCGGAGCUGAAAUCAGUCGAAGAUACCAGCUGGCUGCAACUGUUUAUUAAAAACACAGCACUGUGCAAACACGAAAGUGGACGUAUACGGUGUGACGCCUGCCCGGUGCCGGAAGGUUAAUUGAUGGGGUUAGCGGCAACGCGAAGCUCUUGAUCGAAGCCCCGGUAAACGGCGGCCGUAACUAUAACGGUCCUAAGGUAGCGAAAUUCCUUGUCGGGUAAGUUCCGACCUGCACGAAUGGCGUAAUGAUGGCCAGGCUGUCUCCACCCGAGACUCAGUGAAAUUGAACUCGCUGUGAAGAUGCAGUGUACCCGCGGCAAGACGGAAAGACCCCGUGAACCUUUACUAUAGCUUGACACUGAACACUGGUCCUUGAUGUGUAGGAUAGGUGGGAGGCUUUGAAGCGUGGACGCCAGUCUGCGUGGAGCCAUCCUUGAAAUACCACCCUUUAAUGGCUGGUGUUCUAACGUAGACCCGUGAUCCGGGUUGCGGACAGUGUCUGGUGGGUAGUUUGACUGGGGCGGUCUCCUCCCAAAGAGUAACGGAGGAGCACGAAGGUUGGCUAAUCCUGGUCGGACAUCAGGAGGUUAGUGCAAUGGCAUAAGCCAGCUUGACUGCGAGCGUGACGGCGCGAGCAGGUGCGAAAGCAGGUCAUAGUGAUCCGGUGGUUCUGAAUGGAAGGGCCAUCGCUCAACGGAUAAAAGGUACUCCGGGGAUAACAGGCUGAUACCGCCCAAGAGUUCAUAUCGACGGCGGUGUUUGGCACCUCGAUGUCGGCUCAUCACAUCCUGGGGCUGAAGUAGGUCCCAAGGGUAUGGCUGUUCGCCAUUUAAAGUGGUACGCGAGCUGGGUUUAGAACGUCGUGAGACAGUUCGGUCCCUAUCUGCCGUGGGCGCUGGAGAAUUGAGGGGGGCUGCUCCUAGUACGAGAGGACCGGAGUGGACGCAUCACUGGUGUUCGGGUUGUCAUGCCAAUGGCACUGCCCGGUAGCUAAAUGCGGAAGAGAUAAGUGCUGAAAGCAUCUAAGCACGAAACUUGCCCCGAGAUGAGUUCUCCCUGAGACCUUGAGUCUCCUGAAGGAACGUUGAAGACGACGACGUUGAUAGGUCGGGUGUGUAAGCGCAGCGAUGCGUUGAGCUAACCGAUACUAAUGAACCGUGAGGCUUAACCUUACAACGCCGAAGGUGUUU
rnacentral:rRNA from 1 species